ACGGUCUCAAUUUGUAUGGAGUUGGAACGUUUGCUCACGUUUUCUACUAGUCAUGUUCCAACUUCAUACAAAUUUGAGUUA
rnacentral:pre_miRNA from 1 species